rnacentral:rRNA from 2 species
AGAGUCAAAUGCUUUUCACUUUAAGGACAAGCUGUGAUGGGGAGCGAAAUUUAGUAGCGAAGCGUCUGAUGUCACACUGCCGAGAAAAGCUUCUAGUGAGUACUUAACUACCCGUACCGCAAACCGACACAGGUAGUCGAGGAGAGAAUCCUAAGGUGAGCGAGUGAACUCUCGUUAAGGAACUCGGCAAAAUGACCCCGUAACUUCGGGAGAAGGGGUGCUGAUCGCAAGAUCAGCCGCAGUGAAUAGGCCCAGGCGACUGUUUAUCAAAAACACAGGUCUCUGCAAAAUCGUAAGAUGACGUAUAGGGGCUGACGCCUGCCCGGUGCUGGAAGGUUAAAAGGAUGGGUUAGCUUCGGCGAAGCUCAGAAUUGAAGCCCCAGUAAACGGCGGCCGUAACUAUAACGGUCCUAAGGUAGCGAAAUUCCUUGUCGGGUAAGUUCCGACCCGCACGAAAGGCGUAACGAUCUGGGCACUGUCUCAACGAGAGACUCGGUGAAAUUAUAUUGUCCGUGAAGAUGCGGACUACCCGCGACAGGACGGAAAGACCCCAUGGAGCUUUACUGUAGCUUGAUAUUGAGUGUUUGUACAGCUUGUACAGGAUAGGUAGGAGCCAUAGAAACCGGAACGCUAGUUUCGGUGGAGGC